AGUAACCAGCCUGUAACUCCUGGGGAGAAGGGGGCGGAGAGGGGGGAAAUGCGGGAGAGAGGGAGAGAGCGAGGCAACCCGGGGCUCAAAACAGUCAAAUUCAAAUUAAAAGGUCGAGACACGAAUCAGGAAACGGAAUCUGGAGAACAACUUGUCUUUCCUGUCGCCCCACAUUUUUCCUUGGACAGAGCCUAGGGUUCAGACUUUCCGAAGGGCUGGAGUUUGGCGGGGAAAGGACUGGAGCCCAGCGCCCUGGAGUGGAGGAGUGAGGAGGCUAGACCGUUUCUAAGGAGGCCCAAGCCCGCUGCGGCUAGAAGACCGCAGAAAGAAAUCCGCCGAAUUUCCCCAUCCAGGGGUGGAGAGAGAAGACGCAGGGGUUCCUGAACCUCCGGAAAACUGGAAGGAAAUGUGGAGUGUAUGAUUUGCUUGCAGGACCGGCCAGGGGAGAUUUGAAAUGGUUUUGUGUUUUCAUAUGCAGGGUCACCGUGGCCUCAGCAUGGGGGUUAUCCAGGGCAAGGUUAGGCUGUUUAGGCCCCAGACUUGG
ensembl:lncRNA HOXC-AS3 HOXC cluster antisense RNA 3